AGCGAACGCUGGCGGCAGGCUUAACACAUGCAAGUCGAGCGCUGUAGCAAUACAGAGCGGCAGACGGGUGAGUAACGCGUGGGAACGUACCUUCUGGUUCGGAAUAACCCAGGGAAACUUGAGCUAAUACCGAAUAAGUCCUUCGGGAGAAAGAUUUAUCGCCGGAAGAUCGGCCCGCGUAAGAUUAGCUUGUUGGGGAGGUAACGGCUAACCAAGGUUACGACCUUUAGCUGGUCAGAGAGGAUGAUCAGCCACAUUGGGACUGAGACACGGCCCAAACUCCUACGGGAGGCAGCAGUGGGGAAUAUUGGACAAUGGGCGCAAGCCUGAUCCAGCCAUGCCGCGUGAGUGAUGAAGGCCUUAGGGUUGUAAAGCUCUUUUAGCAGGGACGAUAAUGACGGUACCUGCAGAAAAAGCCCCGGCCAACUUCGUGCCAGCAGCCGCAGUAAUAC
rnacentral:rRNA from 1 species